GCCGGGGUGCCCGAGCUAGGUCUAAGGGGCCAGGCUCGAGACCUGGUGGCCAUGAGGCCGCGUGGGUUCAAGUCCCACCCCCGGCG
rnacentral:tRNA from 1 species